UGAGUUUGAUUAUGGCUCAGAUUGAACGCUGGCGGCAGGCCUAACACAUGCAAGUCGAACGGUAACAGAAAGUGCUUGCACUUUGCUGACGAGUGGCGGACGGGUGAGUAAUGCUUGGGAAUUUGCCUUGAGGUGGGGGACAACAGUUGGAAACGACUGCUAAUACCGCAUAUUGUCUACGGACUAAAGGGGGCUUCGGCUCUCGCCUUUAGAGAAGCCCAAGUGGGAUUAGGUAGUUGGUGAGGUAAAGGCUCACCAAGCCGACGAUCCCUAGCUGGUCUGAGAGGAUGAUCAGCCACACUGGAACUGAGACACGGUCCAGACUCCUACGGGAGGCAGCAGUGGGGAAUAUUGCACAAUGGGCGCAAGCCUGAUGCAGCCAUGCCGCGUGUGUGAAGAAGGCCUUCGGGUUGUAAAGCACUUUCAGUCGUGAGGAAGGGUUAGUAGUUAAUACCUGCUAGCUUUGACGUUAGCGACAGAAGAAGCACCGGCUAACUCCGUGCCAGCAGCCGCGGUAAUACGGAGGGUGCGAGCGUUAAUCGGAAU
rnacentral:rRNA from 1 species